CACCUUGGGAGGAAACUGGAGCACACAGAGGAAACCCACACAUUAACAGAGAGAAAACCUGAAAUCAGGAUUGAACCUGGGUCCCUGGAGCUGUGAGGCUGUGACUCUGACUGCUGUAUUCCACCAAACUCUUGACAUGCACUGUCGACAGUGUAACUUCAAGGAUUCAGCAUCUUCUGAAGAAGGAGAGCGAAUGCGAGGCUAAGAGCAAUCCAGCGUCAUGGACCAGGGAUCCCAGGCAUCAGUGGAAAGCUGGGACUUUUUCAAGAGGUCUUUGAGAACAUCCUAGAAUAUUUGCCUCUGUUUGUCUGGUGAACCCUUCCAGUGACAGAGCUUGGAAUAAAGUGUGUGAGAGUUUGGUGUUGGGCAUGCAAAUGAUACAUCCUGUCCAAUGGAUCCAACUGGAUGUAAUUAGGGUCUCAUUGCUAUGGAUGUUAACCUGGGAUGAGUUGCAGAUGUCAGUUCAGUUAUUCUUCCAGUGAAUUUGGAGGACUUUGCGCAGUAGUAGUUUUUGGUAUUAGUUUUCUGAUGUCUUGAGGUGCCUGCUUUAAUAGUCCAAGUCUCACAAGCAUAUAGGGGCAUAGACGCUACAUGGCAGAACAGUACUGAGAAUUCUGCAUUGUCCUGAGAUGACAACAUUCAAUUGAAACGCUAAAGAAAUGCCCAUGUGACUGGUAGCCAGGUGUGCCAUAACAUCCUAAGAGCCUCUUCGGAGAGAGCAGAAAGGUCUCCUGGUUUAUUAGCCAAAAGUUCCUCCUUCAUCAACAAAAGUUUGAUUAACCAAUCAUUGUUCUUCAUGGAAUUUUAUGUGAAAAACAGCUGAUACUGCUGCCUACAUAAUGGUCACUACAAUUAUAUAAGUAUAUUAUAUUAUAUAUACAAUUGUUUUGAGAUAGUUCUGAGAAACAUCUGGAAUUUGCCAUUAUUUUGGUCAAAUUAAAUACUAGGAACUUCUGUCUCAUAGAUUCUUGUAGAUGGUGAAAUCUACACUUUCCAGUAUAUUUGCAGCUUAAAAGCUAAUUAUCUGGAACUGAUUUUCCAAUGCCUUGAAUGGAGGGGUGUAAUUUGCACUUAAGAUCAGCUAGUUCUCACAAUAAUAUCCUGUUCCAAGUAUCAAAUUGAAUCUGUGCUAGAAAUGCAUUAGCGGUAUGAGUAGAAAAUUACGAAUCUAGUGAUAGUUGGAAUGGAGUCUCAAGAGAGAUCUGAACUCACUGACAUUCUA